AGCGAACGCUGGCGGCAGGCCUAACACAUGCAAGUCGAACGAGUGGCGAACGGGUGAGUAACACGUGGGGACCUGCCCGAUAGAGGGGGAUAACUACUGGAAACGGUGGCUAAUACCGCAUACUAUCGGAUGAACCCAUAUGGGAUUAGCGAGUAGGUGGGGUAAAGGCUCACCUAGGCGACGAUCUCUAGCUGGUCUGAGAGGAUGAUCAGCCACACUGGGACUGAGACACGGCCCAGACUCCUACGGGAGUCAGCAGUGGGGAAUAUUGCACAAUGGGCGCAAGCCUGAUGCAGCCAUGCCGCGUGUAUGAAGAAGGCCUUAGGGUUGUAAAGUACUUUCAGCGGGGAGGCGUUAGCUGCAGAAGAAGCACCGGCUAACGCCGUGCCAGCAGCCGCGGUAAUUC
rnacentral:rRNA from 1 species